rnacentral:rRNA from 1 species
UUGAACGCUGGCGGCCGGCCUCACCCCUGCCAGUCGAGCGGAUGAAGGGAGCUUGCUCCUGGAUUCAGCGGCGGACGGGUGAGUAAUGCCUAGGAAUCUGCCUGGUAGUGGGGGAUAACGUCCGGAAACGGGCGCUAAUACCGCAUACGUCCUGAGGGAGAAAGUGGGGGAUCUUCGGACCUCACGCUAUCAGAUGAGCCUAGGUCGGAUUAGCUAGUUGGUGGGGUAAAGGCCUACCAAGGCGACGAUCCGUAACUGGUCUGAGAGGAUGAUCAGUCACACUGGAACUGAGACACGGUCCAGACUCCUACGGGAGGCAGCAGUGGGGAAUAUUGGACAAUAGGCGAAAGCCUGAUCCAGCCAUGCCGCGUGUGUGAAGAAGGUCUUCGGAUUGUAAAGCACUUUAAGUUGGGAGGAAGGGCAGUAAGUUAAUACCUUGCUGUUUUGACGUUACCAACAGAAUAAGCACCGGCUAACUUCGUG